rnacentral:ncRNA from 1 species
GUAAAGGCUUUGAAGGGAACAAGUAGUUACUGUAUGACGCACAGAAAGCAGCCGGUUGAUGAGAGGCGCGCGUUUCGGCAGGCGGACGAAUACAUCCCGGAGCUGCACACCCAACGGAAUUGUUAUUGGUUCCCAGUAGGCUGUGACGUAUCAGGCACACGUUAUCGUGCCGGAGUAUAUCGGAUUUUUGAUGUACUUGCUGAGGCAGACAGUGCGAGCUGUUUGUGAAUAAAGGUGGUAACACGGGAUUUCGCCCCGUCCUUUUU